UCCAUCUUCCCCAAACCGCCGGUGGGAAACGCAUCUGAAUCGGGGGCGUGCGAGGCUGAGGACGACGGGGUUUCCAGACUCGGACGGUGGGGGCGUAGCUUAGUUCCUCCGGUGCGUACGGCGGCCCGCGGGGCCAGCUCGAGUCAACAUCAAGAGGAGACCAAUGGAUUUGCAUCACUAAGAUAUAUCAGAGCUAGAGGCACGCAAAACUGUAUUGCAUGAUCACCUCAAUAUUGGAAGCAUCAGUUCGGCACCUCUUCUCCAUGCUAGAGCUCCAUACAACAUUUCUGUAGCCAGAAGUGUGCCUCCAAUCAUCACCUUGAGCAGAAUAGAUGUGCAGAAGUUCCAGGCGAAGCUGCUGCCUGAGGGGUUGGCCAGCCCCAUGGAUGUGCUCAAGGUAGUUUAUUCGCUCUAUAUUUAUUUCAGGAACUUGCUUUCUUAUCAUAACGGUAGAUCUUUCAUUGGCUAGUUUGCAGUAAAAUUUAUCCUGCAGUGUGAAUUUCAGUUGCUUCCAGUCACUUUAGAGCUUGUACUAUUGAACUUAGCUGAAAUUUCGGUUGCUUUCAGUCAGUUUGGAGCUUGUAUUGAACUUAUAUAAAAAUGUCACUAUGGGUCAAUAGCUGGCAUUUGUCAGAAAGCUUUUUCAUACAAAAUUUGGACCACUGUGGCGUGUAGGUUAGAUCAGAAUCAGAACAAAUGCCAAGUGGAGUUGUUUAUUUCGUAGCUAAUCAACUCAUGAUAUAUGGAAAUUUGUUGAUUUUUUUGUGAAUGCUGUGAACAUAUGUGGAGUAAUGAGUAAAUUCAAGUUCAACUUAGACCAAAUUAUCUUCGAUAGGAUGACAUAGAUUUGACUGUGAAAUAAAGUAAUGAAAUGUUCAGAGUAGUACAAUGUGUUGCAUCCGGCUAACUCUCAAGGUUUAUGUGAAAGAUAAUUAUGACUAUGCUUCUCGUCUGGUCUUGCAUCAAAGUGGGUAUAUGGCAAUAAAAGGAGAUUAUCAGAUCUCAUGAUCUCGUGUGUUCUUGUUUUCAUAGUUGACUCAGUUAUCCUACUCUGCCUUCUUGGUCCUUUUUCUCUGAGUGGAUGGAUGGAUGUGGAGACUGAGGGGCAACUCUGACAACCGCUUCAUUUGUAGAUUUUAUAAAUCCUCUUUUGUACGGUAAAUUUUGCAAUUUUUAUUGACUUGUCUAACUACAUUUCAAUUAAUUAUAACAGAUACUGAAUGAGGCUCAACAUUGGUGGUUAUACCACUGUGAUUUGUUAAGUACUCAAUAAACUAGAAACAUCAGUAUGGCUCCAGAACCAACAAACAGGCCUUUAUUCUCUGUUAAAUAAUAUUGUUUGAUCAAGCCAUCACGGACCUAUAAUGUCCAACAACAAGAUCGGCAGCGCAGGUGCGCUCUACAGUGUCCCGCAGGUACGCAGGUUUCCUCGGGUGCCAGCUAGGUCAUUCCGGACGCACGCCGGGACAUGAGGGCGAGUGCAUCCGCGAGUUACAGGCUUCUAGCAAUGGCAACUACAGAGUCUUGUGUAUCGAAGAACAUCCAUGAACUGAAGAACACCACACAGCUUCUUGAAUCCUGCAACUAGAAGCACAUCAUACAGGAAAGUAAUGUUUCCCACACUAUGCCUACAAUGAUUCUCCUCGAAGACAUGAGGUGCUGCAUUUUGGAUCUGAGCAAUCUUAAGUGCGAUUUCGUAGGAAUCAGCAACAUAUAGGAGCUAAAGCAUCUAAGUAUGCUCCAGGUAACAAAUAUCUUUCUUUUUUUCCUUCACAUCCCCAUGAAAAUUAGAACCUUCUGUAUACUGUUCCUGAAACUACGGUUGGGGACCUUAAUAACCAGCAUGUUGAGACCAUCUGCAGCGCAAUAGUUAGUGAGCGUCUAUACAAUGGCGGUGGAGCUGAGGGGCGAGCGGAGCGAGAGCAAUAUAGGUAUAGUGGUUCUCAUCUAUUACCGUUCAUUUCAAUGUAUGCAUAUUUCUUCGGCAUUAGCACCCAGUUAUUUAAAUUAAUAACAAGUUGUGGAGCAGGAUGAGUAACUAUAGCAAUGUUUUUAGAAUUAAUUGUAUGCAUCGCAAGGGUACUUCCUAGUUUGAAAUGAUGUAGCAGGCUGGUGCGGCAAACAAUUGACAAACCAGGAUAUGCUGCUCGUGCUCGAGCUUCCCAAGCAUAAUGCUAACCAGUAACUUUUCUUAAUCUAGAAAACUUCUUCAUUUCUAAUGGAGUUUCUUGCAUCUUACUAGUACUUUCUAGCUCAGCAGUAGUGGUGCGAAAUCCAUACAGCGAGAGUUUCACUCUAAAUAUGUACAGAAAUAUUUAUGAAAUAGAUUCUUAGAUACUAAUAGACACUC